GUCAGGUUGCCUAAGAAUAGGCUGGACAAGUUUUAAAAGCAGCCCUAUAGUCCCAAGACCCAUCAUGAACCAUGAAGCUAGAGAGAUGAAUACACGCAUCACUUGCAUCUAAAAAGAGGACAGUGAAAUGAAGUAGAGCAAACUGCAGGUGUAGCAUG
rnacentral:lncRNA from 1 species